GCGAAAUGGAAACCAGUCUUCUUGGUGAGAUUGUUGCACGCUAUGGUGAUUGCUUGCUGCUUCAACGCAAGUGUUGCAGUGGGUUUUGAUCCUGACGUGUGCUUUGUUUCUUACCUCGUGUGUCAACGUCGGUUCGGAAUUGAGGAAAACUCUAGGGACAUGGUAACUCGCCUGCGGGUGAGCCAAUGUGCCUGGUAGAACUCAUUUCUUAACUGAUUUCUGCAUGUCUGGUCGCAGUGUUUCAUUACCUGUGUUCUGGUAUUGCGCUUGUGGCUCUUCUGCUGCUUGCUGCGUUGCUGGGCCUGGUCGUGGAGCAUCUCCCUGACAUUAGUACGAUGACAAAAUGGUUUCAUUCGACCCGUCUUGAAACACGGACCAAGGAGUCUAACAUAUGUGCAAGUUCAUGGGUGUUAAACCUAAUUGCGCAAUGAAAGUGACUGCUGGGAUAUUUGCACCAGCAACCGACCAAUCAAUUGUGAGAGGUUUGAGUAUGAGCAUAUCUGUUAGGACCCGAAAGAUGGUGAACUAUGCGUGAGAAGGGUGAAGUCAGGGGAAACUCUGAUGGAGGCUCGUAGCGAUACUGACGUGCAAAUCGUUCGUCAUACUUGCGUAUAGGGGCGAAAGACUAAUCGAACCAUCUAGUAGCUGGUUCCCUCCGAAGUUUCCCUCAGGAUAGCUGGAGUUGAACAGUUUUAUCAGGUAAAGCGAAUGAUUAGAGGAAUCGGGGACGCGUUGUCCUCGACCUAUUCUCAAACUUUAAAUGGGUAAGAUCCAGUGGUUACUUGGGUGAACUUCUGGGAUAAAUGACAACUCUAAGUGGGCCAUUUUUGGUAAGCAGAACUGGCGAUGAGGGAUGAACCUAACGUUGGGUUAAGGUGCUCAACUACUCGCUCAUCAGAUACCAUAAAGGGUGUUGGUUCAUAUAACAGCAGAGACGGAGUCAUCAAGUCGAAAUUCUUAUGCGG
rnacentral:rRNA from 1 species